AAAGCUGUUCUUGCGGAGCGCACCGAUUUCCUUGCUUCAGUCUGUAUCUUAAAGACGACAAUAAUGGUUCCUGAACUAGGCAUAACUACAUCAAAUGUUAUUUCUUCGGGAACAAGAUUGGAAGGCGCUACUGCCUAUUUUAUUUGCCAAUUUGAUGGAAGGAUAGUCGAUUUACCAAUUUCAAGUCCUGCACCUGUGAUGCGGCGAACAGUUCUACCUUUUAAACGACUACUUUUAUGCCCAAUUUCAAUGAAAUUACAGAGAAUGUAUGGAGGAUUGAAUGCUCUGAAGCGAACAAAAGUGCAAUGUCCAAGGAACAAUUAUAGGGCUUUCUCUGGCAUCGUUUGAACGGAAAGUGUAUUACUCGAAUGAUACAAGCUUUCAUUCGCACUUGAUGCCGGAAUAUGGAGCAUCUACCAAGAAAACAGCGCCGAUAAGGAUUUCUCAGGGAACGUGAACGAGCUAGACAUGAAAAACAACUCCCUCGCCAAUCCGACCAACGCACUGUUUAUCCGGUUCAUCCCCACUGCUUUCAAUGACUGGCCGGCGUUUAGAGUAUAGGUAAACGGAUCUAGAGCUUAGAAAUCUUACUUCUAAAAAAAGCAUUUUGCACUCUAUUUUCCAGUGGCGACAUUUUGAUUCUAUUCUAUCCAAAGUAAUUAAAAAAAAACAUAAUCUACACAUAAAUAAAGCAAUGGUUAAGACGGUAAUCUCCUACACAGAGUCGUCGAUUUUAUCGACACUAAGAACGGCUGAGCGGGAGACUACCAAAUCAGCCGGUGAAAAUAAAUGCUUUCUCUGCUCUCUCACAUUUUACAUUUUACUAGUAUGAGAGCCCCGGACCUCAAUAGAGGACGCUUGAGGGCGAUUUUGGAAUGCGGUUCCCCUUAUUACGCCCCCAUCAGCUGUAAUAAAUGUAAUUGCAUGAAAAAUAAAACAAUUUAACGCGAA